CUAUCCUACCACAACACAGUCCCCAGCCGUCACCAACGAGUAUAGGAUAACCCCCUCCCAGGACAAAACCCCCUUAUGUAGAGUAAAAAAAUAGGUAAAAAAAACUCAUUUUCUAUUUUCAGACUUAAAGUACAUUUUAAUAAUUUUAAAGAGGGCGUCUCUAAAAAAAAUAUAAAUAUAAAUAAAAAUUUUUUAUUAAUAAACAAUUAAAAAUUAAAUAACUUUAAAUAUUGAAGCAAUCCUAAAAAUAUAGUUGAUCACUGUUUUGUCUAUUUGAGUAAUCCUUCAACAGGUGACCACUGCGUCAGGUCACCAUUUAGUGGUCAUGUGAUCUAUCCUGGUAUCUUAGCAGCCUGUCAGGCACUAAAUCAUAAUUAACCUUAGGUCAUUGCUGGGUAGGUCAAGUCAAGUGUGUAUAUAAAGCUGCCUCAUCUAAUCUGAAGCAUCAUUUUUGGUCGCUAUCACGUGAUCUAAACUGUCUGGUGGGAAUAUACUGUUUUUGUGAGCUUGGUAGUGUUUUUAAAAAUUGGUUAUACUCUCUCAGUGACCCGAAAAAUGAGUCUCUCUUCAACCACCAUGGAGAUCAUCAAGAACAAUAAAGGAGGCUCCAAACUGUCUGCAGAAGGUUACUUAUACGCCAAGAAGAGUUGCAACAGUACACGAAUACGUUGUGAAUGUUCUCAGAGGAAUACACUUUCUUUGCUAAGGUUUUGCUCAUACAGAUUUGGAGGUGAAGCUGCUACUUUCUGUGACUGAACACAGCCACGACCCAGAUCCUAACACGGUGAAGGCAGCUAAAGUGAAGAACACCAUAAAGGCAGCUGCAGACCUGUACAUAUCGUAACAGACGCUAUAUGUCAACAACCACUUGAAGUUCGUUGUGCAAUUGGUCGACUUGACUCGGAAGCGUAGUGUCCGACGUCUAUAGGAAGGAGCAUUGCCAAAGGACCCAACUUACCUACGAGAAUUGGAGCAUAUCAGUGGUGAAUGGAAAACUACAGGAGCUCCAAAAUACCAGGAUUUCCUCGAUUAUGACAAUGGACCUGAGUCGAGAGAGAGAGAGUUACAGUGUUUGCAACCAACUAGGCACUUGAACAUUUAUCACCCAGUACCACCUGGUUUAUGGAUGGGACUUUUGCAACAGCUCCAAGACUGUUACAGCAGUUGUAUCUGCUGUAACAUGUGUGUAUGCUUUUUUGUCUGCAAAGUCUCAAUCCAUCUAUGCAGGACUCCUCCGGGCAAUCUUGAAUAAAUGUGACCAUCUGGGGGAGUUUGUCCGUAACGAUAUGUGCAGGUCUGCCUCUGUUGGUCGAAGCAGCUGUCUUUAUUGUGUUCUUCACCUGUUUAAAAUUGUUAAAAUGGACUUAAAGUCUGAAAAGAAAAAAAUGGGGGCUUUUGUACUCUAAAUAAGGGUUUUUUGUCCUACUUUUCACUUUACUUGAGGUAUUGUCCAAGGGGGGUUUUGCCCUAGAAAGUUUUGUCCGAACCCGUCACUAACACACCUUCCUCCUCUAGACAGGCCUGGCACUUGACUUAUUAGGGACAUGCCAUUUGAUGUAUUUUUUGUGAAUCCUUCAAAGUACAGUAUUAUACAGAUCAUUAACGACUUUAUUUUAUUUGCCCUAAAUGUACAAUACGUAACACCUCAGGGCGCUGGGUCCUGUCACAGAACACAAUACAGUAUAAGGUUUAUUACCCAGGCGUAUUAUGAAGACUAAGCCAAGGUCACCACGCCAGGAGUCCCAAGAUGAUACAAUGUCUUGUUUAUAAAAUUGUGUGUGUGUGCGUAAAGACGAUUAUAGUGUCUCUGAAUCUGAUAUAUAAUUAGUGGCAUAGCAAAUGAGCCUCUGAGCUUAAACUUAAAGUAAUACAGAUGCUUUGAGGAUACAUUUCUUGCGUUUACGUAAAUUUUCUGAAUAUUUUGUGAACGGUCUUUUCUGGUGUCAUACGGCUGGAAAGUUGCGUUCGACUUGUUAAUUAUUAUUUUGUUUUAAUAAUUACUUUCUGGGUACUUAGUAAUGAAAAUAUUUCCUAUAAUUAACUCAAACAAUAAAUUUAUUCCACCAAAUCAACAUGAGUAAAACAAUUAUUGGUAUAUAGUAACACUGAAGGCUAUAAUUUUAUUACUGCGCUUCAACAACUAAGGUGUUUAAGCGCACAAAGUAGUUACGCUAGUUCAUCAACAGUUAAAUAUCGUGAAAGAUACAACUCUCUGGAUUGGUACUAUGUUUAGAAAUAAAAAAAUCAAAUUCUAUACAGACCACGACUUGGAAACUCCAUGGUCACUUGUAAAUCGAUAUGGUAGGUGGCAACACUGACCUGACAUGACGCACAUCUACCGUUCUCCGUACUCAUUGCCGAGUACUCGACUACACUUAUCAACUAGAACAGAUACUAAUGUAACAAUCAACCACAACAUUAAAUUUCGUUUUCCAUGGUCAAGUCUUUAAUAUGGUAAUUAAUACACAAGAAUCUCAAGUUGGCAUCUUGCUAGCUUGUUUAAGGAGUUGCCUAUUUUUUGUAGUCUUUUAUAUUUUUAAUGAGCUUGGAUGACAUUGUUUCUGAAAUUGACUAUUAAAAUACACAUCACGUAUAUAUAACCUAUUUUCCUGCAUCAUCAAAACGUGAAAACCUUAUUCAUUAUGCUCAAUAUAAGGGCUCAUUUGGCACACGAGAGAAACGCCCACUCUUGCCUUGCCUGGGGAACUUUGUAUGAGACGGAAUUCAACCUUCAUAAUAACCUAGUAUUAUUAUCUGUGCUAGACAUACACCAGCCCACCACCACACCAUGUGCGAGGAAGCUUGUGCUUGUGUCACCGCGUUGAUGGAAAGUGGUUGUGACUGUGGUUCCUGUGACUGUGUAAACGGUGACUGUGGUUGCUGUGACUGUGCAGACUGUUGUUCGUGUGAUAACUGUCACAGCGGAGAUUGGUCGUGCUGCAUGUGUGUAUACCCCUACAAUACAUACACCUGUUGCGGUGGCAAUAUAGAAAAGGACAAGCAGAAUGAGGUUGUGACGACCCAGCCAAUAGGUGGACCAGUUGAGGGCAUCACCAAGCCUUCGUGAGGUACACCAGCCAUCUAUCUGUACAUGGAAACCCGAUGAAAAAAACUCAUAUUACUCCAUAUUACUCAUUCUCUACAAGACGGCGUCACAAGAGCACCAAACUGGCAUUUUUCAAAUUGGCGAAGAAAUCCUAUUACGUUAAUAUGUUAAAUUAAUGGUAAGUUUAUUUGUAGUAGCUAUAGUCGGAAUUGUAGUACCAGAUUUUCUUGCCAGUUUAAAAAUGUGUUGGUUUAGGUGCUCGUGUGACGCCAGCUUUACGAGUUAGUAUGCACGUGUUGCUGGUCGGCCACUCUGUGACACUUGCUUUGAAGAUUAGAAUAAUUACGAUGUUUUUAUAUGUUUGUUCUUUGUAAAUAGAUUUUUAUUGCAUUUUUAAGAGAUAUUUUUGUACUAUAUUUUACAAGAUCAUGUCACAGAAAGAGAUGAGAGAGUUACGUUUCUAUGUUAAGAAGCGACUGAGACUAUUACUGUACUUCAAAUGAUCAAAUCUUAUGACAAUAAACACACUGUAUCCUGAGAGAGGGAGGAAGAAACCACACAAGUUACAACUCUUACAAAAUAGGGUUAAAUUUCUUCCUCGGACGCUCAAAAUAGCUGUACGUCUACCUAAAUUUUAAUCAAAUCCCACAUUAUUGAAAAUUAGAGCCUCUUAAUGGACUGAUUUCAAUGCUAUCGUAGAAAAUAGGGUUAUAAAACAUUUUGAGUUCGUAAUCCGCCCGUUGUAAGGCUAUAGUGUAAUGUUAAGGACGCAAUACAAGUUGUACAUCAAAGACCAGUAGUUUCAAGAUGUACAAAUAUUUCAAUAAAAACACCCAGCGUUUCUUGAAAAUAAAUGCUUUAAUGGUAAAUUUUGUUCAUGGAUUCUUUUAAUCGGCUGUUAACGACGUUUCUGAAGAUGUUCCGGAACAGUUUAAUUUAUUUUGAGCAAUUACAGUAACAUUAAAUACUGCCAAAUGAAAAUUAACUUUUCGAGUCAGCAGUCUGCAGUGAUCUCUGUAAUGAUGCUUAGUAAUUACCUAAACUUCACCGCUGUAAGAUAAUAAACAAACCGCUGUUCUAGGUUAAAAAUAGGAGUACAAAGUUUGUUGACAAUACAGAUGGGACCAUUGAGAAUCGACCAGCGUUUUACAACCAUAAGUUUACUGUAAGUUGAGAAAAUAUACAUCAACCAAUACAAA